ACNUAGGGUGCAAGNNNUNUCNGGAAUUNUGGGCGUAAANAGCUCGUAGGUGGUUCGAUACGUCGGAUGUGAAAAUCAGGGGCUCAACCCNGACCNGCNUCCGAUACGGUCGAGCUAGAGUUUGGUAGGGGAGACUGGAAUUCCUGGUGUAGCGGUGGAAUGCGCAGAUAUCAGGAGGAACACCGAUGGCGAAGGCAGGUCUCUGGGCCAAUACUGACACUGAGGAGCGAAAGCGUGGGGAGCGAACAGGAUUAGAUACCCUGGUAGUCCACGCCGUAAACGGUGGGCGCUAGUUGUGCGAACCUUCCACGGUUUGUGCGACGCAGCUAACGCAUUAAGCGCCCCGCCUGGGGAGUACGAUCGCAAGAUUAAAACUCAAAGGAAUUGACGGGGCCCCGCACAAGCAGCGGAGCAUGCGGCUUAAUUCGACGCAACGCGAAGAACCUUACCAAGGCUUGACAUAUACAGGAAUAUGGCAGAGAUGUCAUAGCCGCAAGGUCUGUAUACAGGUGGUGCAUGGUUGUCGUCAGCUCGUGUCGUGAGAUGUUGGGUUAAGUCCCGCAACGAGCGCAACCCUCGUUCUGUGUUGCCAGCAUUUAGUUGGGGACUCACAGGAGACUGCCGGGGUUAACUCGGAGGAAGGUGGGGAUGACGUCAAAUCAUCAUGCCCCUUAUGUCUUGGGCUGCACGCAUGCUACAAUGGCUGGUACAAACGGCUGCAAUACCGCAAGGUGGAGCGAAUCCGAGAAAGCCAGUCUCAGUUCGGAUUGGGGUCUGCAACUCGACCCCAUGAAGUCGGAGUUGCUAGUAAUCGUAGAUCAGCAACGCUAUGGUGAAUACGUUCCCGGGGCUUGUACACACCGCCCGUCACAUCACGAAAGUCGGUAACACCCAAAGUCAGUGGCCCAACCGCAAGGAGGGAGCUGCCAAAGGUGGGAUCGGUGAUUGGGAUG
rnacentral:rRNA from 1 species